ACGUGCAAUCACAGCCCUUCAACUUCAUUAACUCCAAUUAAAUCUCGUACGUCUAGGUGUUAUAAUUCUAUUCGUCAUUUCUUUAUUCUUCACUUAGCUCAUUUAUUCAGGUCAUGACAUUCCCGCCCGGAUCAAACAAUCCUUGACCCCAAGGAUGAUUAUCAAAAAUUUGUCCCGUCCAGGUUCAUUACAAUCCUUCCUGCUUGAAAUCAACAUUGUCCUCAAGGUUGUUGUCCACACCCGCAUAUCAAAAACCAAAAUCAUCAGAUUAUUUCUCGCUAGAAUUCCUAAGGUAAUAUGCCUAUUUGCUGUGAACACUUCUCUCGCAAAAGCUUCAAUUAAAGACUUGGAUUGAUUGACCUUUGCUAUCAUUGUGUCCCUUAUAUCACGAAGCAAAGAUAGGCUAGUACUUUUUCUCAGUAUUGUUUCCAUUUUAGUCUGCAGCUCCGCUAUUCUGUCAAAGAGCUUUUCAGCCUCUGUUGUAGAGAUGUGGAGCUGCUUUUGGAGGUCAACGCUUCCAAGACAACCCAGUGGAAUUUCAGUGCGACAUGGUGCAAAUAAGCCCACAAAUAUUUGACCCUCAGAAUGUACAUGAAUAUGCUUUUUGGAAUUUUCCGCAAAUGGCAAGGAAAACACACAUUUUGCAAUAUUUGAUAGGCAUAAAUGUUCUCAAAGUAUCUCAAAAUCAUUCCAGUGGCACAAAGAAAAAGCAUUAUAAGCUGAUAGUAAAAUUCCUGUUGUAUACUUGGGAAUACCAGAUGUAGAAAUGACCAAGUUGUGCUCAG
rnacentral:lncRNA from 1 species